rnacentral:rRNA from 1 species
AACGAACGCUGGCGGCAUGCCUAACACAUGCAAGUCGAACGAGACCUUCGGGUCUAGUGGCGCACGGGUGCGUAACGCGUGGGAACCUGCCCUUAGGUUCGGCAUAACUCCCCGAAAGGGGUGCUAAUACCGGAUAAUGUCUUCGGACCAAAGAUUUAUCGCCUUUGGUUGGGCCCGCGUUGGAUUAGCUAGUUGGUAGGGUAAAAGCCUACCAAGGCGACGAUCCAUAGCUGGUCUGAGAGGAUGAUCAGCCACACUGGGACUGAGACACGGCCCAGACUCCUACGGGAGGCAGCAGUGGGGAAUAUUGGACCAUGGGCGAAAGCCUGAUGCAGCAAGGCCGCGUGAGUGAUGAAGGCCUUAGGGUUGUAAAGCUCUUUUAACCGGGAUGAUAAUGACAGUACCGGGAGAAUAAGCCCCGGCUAACUCCGUG